GCAAGGAACUGGUCGCCCGGUCCAGCGACUUUCUCGAUGGGCAACUGGACUUCCGUGGACAACUGGCGGUGCGCAGCCACCUGCUCAUGUGCCGGCAUUGCCGGCGCUUCAUCCGCCAGAUGCGCCUGACCCAGGCGACCGUGCGCCAUCUGCCGGAAGGGCAGGGGCCGGAACUCGACCGUCUGGCCGCGCAUCUCUCCGAAUUGCGCAAGGACGCCGCGCGGCGCUGAGCCGGGGUACCCUCGACACCAAGCCGCCGCCCGCGAUUCGUGGGCGGCGGCU
rfam:Pseudomonas aeruginosa PAO1, complete genome.